GAUGAAGAACGUAGCGAAAUGCGUUAAGUAAUGUGAAUUGCAGAAUUCAGUGAAUCAUCGAAUCUUUGAACGCACAUUGCGCCCGCUAGUACUCUAGCGGGCAUGCCUGUUCGAGCGUCAUUUCAACCCUCAAGCCCUGCUUGGUGUUGGGGCCCUACGGCUGCCGUAGGCCCUGAAAGGAAGUGGCGGGCUCGCUACAACUCCGAGCGUAGUAAUUCAUUAUCUCGCUUAGGGUGUUGUGCGGUGCUCCAGCCGUUAAAGACCAUCUUUAACUCAAGGUUGACCUCGGAUCAGGUAGGAAUACCCGCUGAACUUAAGCAUAUCAAUAAGCGGAGGA
rnacentral:misc_RNA from 1 species